CCUACGGGUGGCAUCAGUGAGGAAUAUUGGUCAAUGGACGGAAGUCUGAACCAGCCAUGUCGCGUGCAGGAAGACGGCCCUACGAGUUGUAAACUGCUUUUGUACGAGGGUAAACCUCAAUACGUGUAUUCCCCUGCAAGUACCGUACGAAUAAGGAUCGGCUAACUCCGUGCCAGCAGCCGCGGUAAUACGGAGGAUCCAAGCGUUAUCCGGGUUUAUUGGGUUUAAAGGGUGCGUAGGCGGAUUGAUAAGUUAGAGGGUAAAGGUCCGAGCUUAACUCGGGAACUGCCUCUAAUACUGGUGAUCUAGAGAGUAGAUGAGGUAGGCGGAAUGUAUGGUGUAGCGGUGAAAUGCAUAGAGAUCAUACAGAACACCGAUUGCGAAGGCAGCUUGCCAAGCUAUAUCUGACGUUGAGGCACGAAAGCGUGGGGAGCAAACAGGAUUAGAUACCCGUGUAGUC
rnacentral:rRNA from 1 species